GAUACCGAUGAUGAUGAUGAUGAUGUUGCUUCUCCUGCAAAAGCAUUGCCAAGAAGUGUUAGCAUAUUUGCACGCAGGCCUGAUUUAUAUUCUCGUAAAAAUGUUAGUUCUUUUCAAAAAUCUGAGUACCAUAGAAAUACAUCUCCAUAUAAAUAUGAGGAUGAAUUUGCUGAUUCAAAUAGAAAGCAAAAUAAUGUUCAUACUAGACUCGGUGAGAAACCAAAUUAUAAUCGCAGGUAUGCUUCUGCUCCUAGACCUGACAGACAACAUAGGUUUGAUGCUUCUAAGGAGCGAAUGAAAGCAGAUAAGACGCCGUCCCAAUUGCCAAACAGGAGCUUGUCGCGGAAAGAGAGGGAAACUCUGAAUAAACAUGGACCUACAGGAGGUGAACUUAAUGAAAUGAUUGGCAAAGCAAAGAUUUCUGGAAGCGGUACUGGCGCCAAUCAUAUUUUUGAAAGCACAGAAACCAUUGCACCUGGUGAUAUUUUCUUUUCUCAGGAUUAUGCAGCCUUGACUAUGCAGCAGAUUACUGAAAACAAAUCCAAUAAAAAGACUCAGGUACAGACUGAUAGGAAUGCUGUACUGUCUGCGAAAACACCUGCCAAUUUUAAUAAUCAGAGUAGCAGAAGGAAUUUAUCUAGUAAUAAUAUGACUCGACCAACUAUGAGGGCGAGCUCUUCAGUAAGUAGGCAGAGCAGUAAUUUGAGUGAGGUUAGUGGAAGGACAACUGCAAGUAUGAAAAGGUUCACGGCGAACAGGCAAAAGAAACAAUCUGAAGCAUGGUUUUCUUGUCUCAACAAGGGAUCUUGUAGAACCUCAAGAAGAGAAUCUCCAGAAAGAGGGCGCCCGAUUGAUGAAGCUUUAGUUAUUGCCAAGGCAUCUAUAGUUGAAAGCCUGAGACCCUUUUGGGCUGAUAGUUAUCAACCUGCUUCACUAGAAGAAUUCACUUGCCACAAGAAAGAAGCUUUACUACUUAAAGAUCUGGUAAAGACAAUAGGAAAUUUUGUACUAGUAGUUAACUUUUUCUGCUUAGAUUACACAAGUUUCUUGGCUUUCUAAUGCUUUUUCUUUUAGGUUUCUUCAAAUGAAACCUUUCCUCAAGUCUUAUUCAUGGGACCUUCUGGCUCUGGGAAGAGAACGCUCGCGAUUGCUCUUCUUCGUGAAAUCUAUGGAGAUGCAAUCUGCAAUGUAAGUAGAAUGACAUUUAUUUGAAGAUAUAGAGCUACUAUGCUACAUUUUUUACGGUUCAUCAGUAGAAAUCUUCAAGUUCUUUAUGUUCUUGUUUGCAGAUAUCCCAUGAUCUGAAAUACUUCCAAAUUAAGGUAUCUUAGGCUUGAUUUCUUUUCUGCUAUUUAUUCACUUUUCUGAUCUUCAUAAAAAUUAAAAUUAAUUAUGCGGCUUAAAGGUCUGCGAUUUACAAUUGAUCUCGAUUCAUCUGUUAAGCAGUUAAUGUUUGUAAACACCACAAUUUUAACUAGCAACCUUUAUUUGGUAAAUUGGAACGCCAAGCAGUUAAUGUUUGUAAACACCACAUAACCACAUUGUUAACUAGCACCCUUUAUUUGGUACAUUGGAAUGCCAUUUUUAUUGCAUAACCAGUACCAAGUAGUAUCAGUUUUUUUCUCUUCUUAUCCCCUAUUUGUUGAUAGGAAACAAGGCCAAUGCAAGUUGUUGUACCAGUAAGCUCAAGUCCUCACCAUAUAGAGCUGAACGUUCAAUUGGAACCUAAUGCUAGAUACGCAAUAAUGGCUUUCGUUAAGCAAAUAAGUAGCGAGUAUGCAUUGACCCCUGAAAUCAGCAGAGUGAAUAUGAAGGCUGAUUACAAAGGUAAUCAUAUCUAUCAAUGCAAAAACUAUUUUAACACUGUAGUAUCACUUCAAUCUUGAUAUCUAAUUAAGAAAUAAAAUGCUGCUUACAGUAAUAGUUCUUUAUAAUGUGGACAAAGCUGCGGAGAACAUACAACACCUAAUAAAAUGGAUAAUGGACUGCUAUUCGGAUGCUUGCAAACUCAUUCUCUGCUGUGAAGAUGACGUAUCCACACUUGACUCAGUAAAAAGCCGCACCAAAGUUGUUGAACUAGCAGCUCCUGUAACUCAUGAAGUAAGACUCAAAGUAGUACAUUGUAAAAUAAUUUACAUUAACAUUGACUACAAAUGUAAUAUGUCAUCUGAAAAAUGAGUAUCGUUCAUAUCUUCAUCAAGACACGAUAAAUAUCCUUCUUACUUAAUCUUUUGCAUUGUUUUAGAUCAUGAAAGUUCUUAUUGAGAUAGCAAGAAAGGAAGAUUUUGAACUACCAAUGGAAUUUGCUGCUAAGAUAGCAGCCAAAUCAAAGCAAAACCUUAGGAGAGCAAUUAUGGCUCUUGAAGCCUGCAAAGCGCACAAGUAAGACUACUACUUACAGAUUAUGCUCUUGCUAUUAGUUUGUGGAUUACUAAUCCUCAUACUUAAUACAGCUAUCCCUUUGCCGAAGACCAACCAAUUUCAAUAGGAUGGGAAGAUAUUGUAAUAGAACUUGCAGCAGAAAUUCUAGCUGAUCCCACCACAACGAGGUACUUCCCUUUGUUCUUUUUCCAAUCUUUUUUAUUUCCUUCACUAUUUUUGUAAGGAAAUUAUGGAUCCACUUUAGACUGUUAGUUUACACUUGCAUAAACUAGACAUUUUUCUACUGGUACAACAGGUUAUUCUCUGCGCGGGGAAAGUUUCAAAAACUUCUGGUGGAGUUUGUACAUCCAAAAUUUAUUCUCCUGGUAAAGUAUAUGUACUUUAAUGAGGAUGGUUGAAGAGGUAAUAUUUAAGGGAGAUCAUGACAUGAUCAUUAUUCAAUGCAUGCAGAAACUAGUUGAAGAAUUCCUUAAAAGGGUUGAUGCUUGUAUAAAAAGGGAAAUUUAUUAUUGGCAUGCUUAUUAUGUAAGUUCUCUCCUUCUAUAUUAGAAUAUUUAUUUCAGAAAAGUUCAUUGAAUGAGUAAGGACGAUCUGCAGGAGAAAAGGCUCCCUCUUGGAACAACUGCUUUGUUAAAAUUAGAAGGUACCUUGUCAUGCUAUGUUAUAUAAAACAUUUUAAGUGUCAUCAGUUGUAUUCACCUGCAUUGUUGACAGAUUUAUAUGUAUGACUGCAGAAUUUGUGGCCAAAUUUAUGAGCAUUUACAGGAAAAAUUUGGGCAACCGUCAGCAGUUUCAAUAAAAUUCGUGACUACAUGGCAGCUAGUUUGAUUGAGGGAAGGCUCGAAUUUUUGGUGCAACAGCCAACAAGUCUUCCCCUUUUAUCAAACACUCUGCCUCCGUAAUGGAACAACAGCCAUUCUUGGGAAUUCUGGCAGAUUAUUGUAAAGAUAAUAUUGUGUGAAUGUGGUGAUGCGUACAAACAGAAAGCUCGUAUGCAUCUGGCUGUAAGCUUUGUUGGAGUUCUUGAACUGGUCCGUUAUGUAUCUGAGAGACAAAUAAUAUUAUGUUAUACUCGUAUUAUUUAGAAUUCAUUAUAUUGUAUGUCCAAAUCAAUCAUAAAGUGAUGGUCCACUCGCUCUGCAAAGUCUAUUUCUUUAGUCUCUUGUAUUGCUGUGUGCAUUGUCAAAUCUUGUUUGAGAGUGCAAUAGCUACUUUCUCUAUCGGUCUUAACAAAAA
rnacentral:lncRNA from 1 species